rnacentral:ncRNA from 2 species
CUGUCCGAGGGGCGCUGCAGCAGGCCAAUCACAGCCUGUCAGGCUCGGAUGGGGCGUUACCCAAACGCAUCAACGGCGCCCAUUCGCA